rnacentral:rRNA from 1 species
GACGAACGCUGGCGGCGUGCUUAACACAUGCAAGUCGAACGGAAAGGCCCUGCUUUUGUGGGGUGCUCGAGUGGCGCACGGGUGUGUGUCACGCGUGUAACCUGCCCUUGUCUUCGGGGUACCUUCAGGAAACUGGGGCUAAUAUAGGACAGGAGCACCUGCUGCAUGGUGGGGGUUGGAAAGUUUCGGCGGUUGGGGAUGGACUGGCGGCUCAUCAGCUUGUUGGUGGGGUAGUGGCUUACCAAGGCGCUGACGGGUAGCCGGACUGGGAGGGUGACCGGGCCCAAUGGGCCUGAGGGAGGCGCCAGAGGCAAACGGGGGCCAUCGGUGGAAAACUUUGCACAAAAGGCGGGAGCCGGAUACAGCGACGCCGGGUGCGUAAAGACGGUCUGUGGGGAAUAAACCGCGUUCGCCUGGGACGAAGCGUGAGUGACGGUAAUGAGUAAAGAAGCACCGGCUAACUACGUG